UACGAAGGGGGCUAGCGUUGCUCGGAAUCACUGGGCGUAAAGCGCACGUAGGCGGCCCUUUAAGUCAGGGGUGAAAUCCUGGAGCUCAACUCCAGAACUGCCCUUGAUACUGAGGAGCUUGAGUCCGGGAGAGGUGAGUGGAACUGCGAGUGUAGAGGUGAAAUUCGUAGAUAUUCGCAAGAACACCAGUGGCGAAGGCGGCUCACUGGCCCGGUACUGACGCUGAGGUGCGAAAGCGUGGGGAGCAAACAGG
rnacentral:rRNA from 1 species